CCUACGGGAGGCAGCAGUGGGGAAUAUUGGGCAAUGGGCGCAAGCCUGACCCAGCAACGCCGCGUGAAGGAAGAAGGCUUUCUGGUUGUAAACUUCUUUUCUCAGGGACGAAUCACGUGACGGUCCCUGAUGCAUAAGCCACGGCUAACUACGUGCCAGCAUCCGCGGUACUACGUAGGUGGCAAGCGUUAUCCGGAUUUACUGGGUGUAAAGGGCGUGUAGGCGGGACUGCAAGUCAGAUGUGAAAACCACGGGCUCAACCUGUGGACUGCAUUUGAAACUGUAGUUCUUGAGUACUGGAGAGGCAGACGGAAUUCCUAGUGUAGCGGUGAAAUGCGUAGAUAUUAGGAGGAACACCAGUGGCGAAGGCGGUCUGCUGGACAGCAACUGACGCUGAGGCGCGAAAGCGUGGGGAGCAAACAGGAUUAGAUACCCCGGUAGUC
rnacentral:rRNA from 1 species